rnacentral:rRNA from 1 species
GGGGAAUAUUGGACAAUGGGGGCAACCCUGAUCCAGCCAUGCCGCGUGAAUCAUGAAGGCCUUCGGGUUGUAAAGUUCUUUUGACAGGGACGAUGAUGACGGUACUUGUAGAAUAAGCUCCGGCUAACUUCGUGCCAGCAGCCGCGGUAAUACGAAGGGAGCUAGCGUUGUUCGGAAUUACUGGGCGUAAAGGGCGCGUAGGCGGUUCGACAAGUUGGAUGUGAAAGCCCAGGGCUCAACCCUGGAAUUGCAUUCAAGACUGUCUUACUUGAAUUCGGUAGAGGUUGGUGGAAUUCCCAGUGUAGAGGUGAAAUUCGUAGAGAUUGGGAAGAAC